AAGAGAAUGUAGAAUACUGGGGGAAGCCGCUAACUAUCCCUAAAGCGGUUAAAAUCCGUUUUUCUCUUA
rnacentral:tRNA from 1 species